UGUUGUGUGUGGUUGUUCUUCAUUUUUCUUUUCUUUUAAUAAUGGAAAAUGAACUAUUUUCAUUUGAGCACCUUGCAGACAUUCAUUUUGUUUAUGGUCUGGCUGAUGAAAACGCGCUUGAAGCUCGUAGGAUGUACUCGUUAAGAUUUCCUUAUCGUCGGCUGCCCAACUGCAGAACUUUCAGCAGAACUUCAACUCUCAGAAGCAUCUCAAGAUUCCAAACUACCAGAAUGAGUGUUGGUAGGCCGCGUGAAGUCCGCAACGUGAUGACGGAAGAGGAAAUUCUGCAACUUAUUGAGGAGAACCCUGCGUUAAGCACGAGGCAAAUUGCACGGGAUUUAAACCCUCGUCAAUCGACAGUUUGGAGGGUUUUACAUGAAAAUAGUUUUUAUCCAUACCAUAUCCAGCGCGUGCAGGGUUUGCUCCCACGAGAUUUUCCCCAGCGGGUACAAUUCGCAAGAUGGAUACUAAAUAAUUGUGCCAGGGAUCCGAAAUUUUUAUCUCGCAUCCCGUUUACGGACGAAGCCCAAUUUACCCGAGAUGGGGGUCGUUAAUUAUUAUAACCUCCAUGUUUGAGAAAUUGAAAAUCCCCACGAAAUUCGACAGUUGUACUACCAAGAGCAGUUUAGUUUGAAUGUUUGGAAUCAUUUACCCGGUUUAUUGGAGGAUGUGCCGUUGAAUGUUCGCCAAAUACUUAUUUUAUGCACGAUGGAGCCCCUCCCCAUUUUCGAAGAACUGUCCGCGAAUAUUUAGACUUUGAAUUUUCCAGACCAAUAGCUUGGCUACCGCGUUCCCCAGACUGUACCCCGCUAUAUUUCUUUCUAUCAGGCCAUGUUAAAAGCCUGGUGUAUGAUGCAGGACCAGUUCCUUCCAUUGAAAUCCUACAACAACGGAUAUUUCAUGCCUUCGAGGUAGUCAGAAAUACUCCAGAAAUUUCUGGACGCGUUUGGCAGUCUAUGAGGCGAAGAAUGGAGUAUUUGUGGCAUUGUAUCACCGCAGGAGGCAGUAAUUUCAAGCAUUUGUUAUGAAAAUCUGCAUUUGUAUGUAUCUGUUACUUAGGCUAAGUUAAAUUUUGAAAAGAAAUUAAAUGAAUCUCAAUAAUCAA